rnacentral:rRNA from 1 species
AUUGAACGCUGGCGGCAGGCCUAACACAUGCAAGUCGAGCGGCCGUAGCAAUACGGCAGCGGCAGACGGGAGAGUAACACGUGGGAACGCGCCCUUCGGUCUGGAAUAACCCAGGGAAACUUGGGCUAAUACCGGAUACGCCCUUACGGGGAAAGAUUUAUUGCCGAAGGAACGGCCCGCGCCCGAUUAGCUAGUUGGUGAGGUAACGGCUCACCAAGGCGACGAUCGGUAGCUGGUCUGAGAGGAUGACCAGCCUCACUGGGACUGAGACACGGCCCAGACUCCUACGGGAGGCAGCAGUGGGGAAUAUUGGACAAUGGGCGCAAGCCUGAUCCAGCCAUGCCGCGUGAGUGAUGAAGGCCUUAGGGUUGUAAAGCUCUUUCGCCGACGAAGAUAAUGACGGUAGUCGGAGAAGAAGCCCCGGCUAACUUCGUGCCAGCCGCCGCCGUAA